GAUGAACGCUGGCGGCGUGCUUAACACAUGCAAGUCGAACGCACAUAUCUUUCGGGGUGUGUGAGUGGCAGACGGGUGCGUAACACGUGGGUGACCUGCCUUCAAGUGGGGAAUAACUGUCCUAACGGAUGGCUAAUACCGCAUAUGUUCACGGCGUCGAGUCGUGAGUAAAGCCUUCGGGCGCUUGGAGAUGGGCCUGCGGCGGAUUAGCUAGUUGGUGGGGUAAUGGCCUACCAAGGCGAUGAUCCGUAGGGGGCGUGAGAGCGUGGCCCCCCACACUGGCACUGAGAUACGGGCCAGACUCCUACGGGUGGCAG
rnacentral:rRNA from 1 species